rnacentral:rRNA from 1 species
UACGUAGGGUGCAAGCGUUGUCCGGAUUUAUUGGGCGUAAAGAGCUCGUAGGCGGUUUGUCGCGUCGGCUGUGAAAACCCGAGGCUCAACCUCGGGCCUGCAGUCGAUACGGGCAAACUAGAGUACUGCAGGGGAGACUGGAAUUCCUGGUGUAGCGGUGAAAUGCGCAGAUAUCAGGAGGAACACCGGUGGCGAAGGCGGGUCUCUGGGCAGUAACUGACGCUGAGGAGCGAAAGCGUGGGGAGCGAACAGG